AGAGUUUGAUCCUGGCUCAGGAUGAACGCUGGCGGUAUGCUUAACACAUGCAAGUCGAACGGAAGUCUUCGGACUUUAGUGGCGGACGGGUGAGUAACGCGUGAGAACCUACCCUUAGGACGGGGAUAACAGUUGGAAACGACUGCUAAUACCCGAUGUGCCGAGAGGUGAAAGAUUUAUCGCCUGAGGAAGGGCUCGCGUCCGAUUAGCUAGUUGGAGUGGUAAUGGCACCCCAAGGCGAUGAUCGGUAGCUGGUCUGAGAGGAUGAUCAGCCACACUGGGACUGAGACACGGCCCAGACUCCUACGGGAGGCAGCAGUGGGGAAUUUUCCGCAAUGGGCGCAAGCCUGACGGAGCAAUACCGCGUGCGGGAGGAAGGCCUUUGGGUUGUAAACCGCUUUUCUCAGGGAAGAAGUUCUGACGGUACCUGAGGAAUCAGCAUCGGCUAACUCCGUGCCAGCAGCCGCGGUAAUACGGGGGAUGCAAGCGUUAUCCGGAAUCAUUGGGCGUAAAGCGUCCGCAGGUGGUUUAUCAAGUCUGCUGUCAAAGCGUGGAGCUUAACUCCAUAUCAGCGGUGGAAACUGAUGAACUAGAGGGUGGUAGGGGUCACGGGAAUUCCCAGUGUAGCGGUGAAAUGCGUAGAUAUUGGGAAGAACACCAGCGGCGAAAGCGCGUGACUGGGCCAUUACUGACACUCAUGGACGAAAGCUAGGGGAGCGAAAGGGAUUAGAUACCCCUGUAGUCCUAGCUGUAAACGAUGGACACUAGGUGUUGCCCGUAUCGACCCGGGCAGUGCCGUAGCUAACGCGUUAAGUGUCCCGCCUGGGGAGUACGCACGCAAG
rnacentral:rRNA from 1 species